GACUUGCUGCAGGUUUUACCAAUUGCUAAUUAAGCUCAGUGCAUGUCUCCCAUAAUCACACACACUGCUAAGAUGUUGCACACAUUGUACUGAAUGAAAACAGAUACACUUGUGCAUAAAGCUAUGAGAUGACCCCUAAGGACACACUGCUUAAUGAGAUUUUUUUUAUUAUAUCUAUAUUCUUCUUAUUGCUCGACUGUUAUGCUGUCCGUGGCUUCUCGCAGGAGGUUUUUAUGUGCUUUCCAUUGCAUCCAUUUUUGUGCAUCCACUCUUGAAGAUUGAGGGCUAUACGGCCUCCUACAAGGAUUACGUAUGGACUCUUUUUACAAUGGACUGAACUACCAGAUGCUUGAACCUUCCUUUGAUUUUGGGUCAACCUAAUCAGCACUACAAAAUUGACAUCAAUGAAUCUACCACUGUUAUUGGGUUCUCUUUGCUGUGAGAGGCAGGUGUGCAGCUGGAGCCAUUUUGGAGAAUUAAGAUCUACUUCUAACAGUAAGUCAAGAUCUCUUUAUCAUGAAUUUGUCUAAAAAUGUCAGCAUUCCUAGGUAGCAGGACUGCCUGCUAUUUGCUACAUGAAGGAAAAGUGAGCUAUAUUUUGUUUGUAUUAUAAAUGUGUGCUGGGAGGGGGAAAGAAAAGAAGUCCCUCAAGACUACAGUUAUUAAUAAUGUGCGUGCACAUAACUUAGCUUCUAACAAUUAAAAAGUACACCAACUUGGGAAGACACAUGACAAAUGCUAUAAAGCGUAGGCCAAAUGUCUCCCAGAUCUGCCUGUCCAAAAUGAGGUGGCUCCUGUUCUACAUAUACUGAAUUCUAAAUAAUUAGGAACUACAGCAUAUGUAUUAUCAAUCUGUCUCUCUAAACAUCAUGUAAAAUACAAGUGAAUCAUUUUCAUGCCUCAUUGUUUUACCAUCUAUCACAAACAGAUGUAUAUAGGAGAAAUUGACUUGCCAUGUAUGCUGAUGUUUGAUGAUCUCUUACUAUUAUUGGAUGUGUCCCUUAUUUAACUUUGCUUUAAUUCCUUUAGUUCAAUGUUUCAUUAUGUUGUAUUUUUGUCAGUAUGCCAUUGUGCUGGUCAUUGCUACAUCACUGUUCUAAAGAAGCGCAUAACUUUUAGAGGCAGCGCAACUAUAUUAUCUAACAGCACAAAGUAGAGCUCUAAAAGCCCUGUAUAUAUAUAUUAUUCUUUGCAGUAAUUUGCUGUUUAUGUCCUUUUUGGAUUGUUAUGCAUUUAUACACAUUUUGCAAAGUAGUUGGGAGCAGGUGCAGUAUUGUUACUGCUGCUUGCAAACCUUUUUCCACCAUAUAAAGCAUAGUCUGAUAAACGAGCUGAAUAUAGCAAACUGAAUGUAAAAGAUUUAUAUAUAGGAUUGAAAUGUACAAAUAUGUGGAGUGCAGUAACUUCUACCUAUACAUCAGGCCUGUAGGAAACACAAGCUGCAAAAAGUGGAUGAUCCUCCGUGUGUGACUCUGCCUUUACACUUCCAUUCUCCACUAUAUAUGUGGCUGGAUGAACUGAAUUAAAACAAAUCCAAGAGGGGACACUACAGGCACUUUUAAAACACCAGGAAUUGUACCUUUGACACUACACUUAAUCCAUAUACAGUGGGGUCAGUCAGACCAGUUGGGAGUCAAUUAUUGGGAUAACAACAACGGUUAGCAGACCCCGUGGUCACGGGAGGAUGGGACCCAGGGGACAGUGGCCCUCGUCCAUGUGGUUUUCUUCCUCUAUAGUUGCAUAUAAAUCCCCACUUGCCGCCUGCUCUGAGGUAGGAGAGUGGAGCGUACAGGGAGCAGGGAUUUAUAUGUGAGCGGGUAGGGGAAAGUGAGCCUGGGGCCAGAUAGGGUUUACUACUCUGCGCAAGGCCCCUCCCAGCAAUAAGUGGAUUUCAUAAAAUAGAUUUUUGCUAUAGUUAAAAUAUUCUAAAUCCAUUUUAGUCCACAUGCAAUAUCUAGCAGUGGGUUUAUUUACCCAGCGCCAUGGAUUUGGGCAGGCUUAUUAACAAUCAGUUCUCUGUUAGAAGUAAACAGUUGAAAUACUGCAGCAUUACCUGUGUGCCUUCCCUUAAGCAAACACUAUUCAUAAACUUUCAGGAGCCUUAAAAAUAGGGCAGCUAAUCCAGUAAAAGUAAUAGGAAAUAAUGACAACCUUUAGGGAGCUUACAAACAUACAGGCAUGCAGUACUGCCGAGCAGGCUCAGUUAUAUUUAUAGCUUGCCUUUAGCGAUCACUGCUCCUCUCUUCCUUUCCUGGUAAUUUUACUGAAGGGAAGAUGAAUAUUUGGUAAACCACGGCUGAGACAUUUUUGUGGGAAAAAAAAAUAUUUUCAGCUUUUAAUGUAACCAUUAGUACUAAAAGUUAAGCAAUGCAGAGAGAAAAAACAUCCAAGACAGCCACUAAUCUUCUAUGAUUAGUGUAUAUUGAAUAUUAUAUAUGUUAUGUUAAAAUCAUUCCAUUAUUUUGAGUAAAAUUAUAAA